rnacentral:rRNA from 1 species
AUUGAACGCUGGCGGCAUGCUUUACACAUGCAAGUCGAGCGGCAGCGCGGGGGCAACCCUGGCGGCGAGCGGCGAACGGGUGAGUAAUAUAUCGGAACGUACCCCGUCGUGGGGGAUAACACAGCGAAAGCUGUGCUAAUACCGCAUACGACCUGAGGGUGAAAGCGGGGGAUCGCAAGACCUCGCGCGAUGGGAGCGGCCGAUAUCGGAUUAGCUUGUUGGUGAGGUAAAGGCUCACCAAGGCGACGAUCCGUAGCUGGUCUGAGAGGACGACCAGCCACACUGGAACUGAGACACGGUCCAGACUCCUACGGGAGGCAGCAGUGGGGAAUUUUGGACAAUGGGGGCAACCCUGAUCCAGCCAUUCCGCGUGAGUGAAGAAGGCCUCGGUUGUAAGACUCUUCUAGCAGGAACGAAACGGUAGG